UACGUAGGGUGCGAGCGUUAAUCGGAAUUACUGGGCGUAAGGGGUGCGCAGGCGGAUAUAUAAGUUAGAUGUGAAAUCCCCGAGCUUAACUUGGGAAUGGCAUUUAAGACUGUAUAUCUAGAGUUUGUCAGAGGGGGGUAGAAUUCCAAGUGUAGCAGUGAAAUGCGUAGAGAUUUGGAGGAAUACCGGUGGCGAAGGCAGCCCCCUGGGUCGAUACUGACGCUCAUGCACGAAAGCGUGGGGAGCAAACAGG
rnacentral:rRNA from 1 species